AAUAGAUACCCCGGUAGUCCACGCCCUAAACGAUGUCAACUGGUUGUUGGAAGGGUUCCCUUUCAGUAACGAAGCUAACGCGUGAAGUUGACCGCCUGGGGAGUACGGCCGCAAGGUUGAAACCCAAAGGAAUUGACGGGGACCCGCACAAGCGGUGGAUGAUGUGGUUUAAUUCGAUGCAACGCGAAAAACCUUACCUACCCUUGACAUGUCUGGAAUCCCGAAGAGAUUUGGGAGUGCUCGAAAGAGAACCAGAACACAGGUGCUGCAUGGCCGUCGUCAGCUCGUGUCGUGAGAUGUUGGGUUAAGUCCCGCAACGAGCGCAACCCUUGUCAUUAGUUGCUACGAAAGGGCACUCUAAUGAGACUGCCGGUGACAAACCGGAGGAAGGUGGGGAUGACGUCAGGUCCUCAUGGCCCUUAUGGGUAGGGCUACACACGUCAUACGAUGGCCGGUACAGAGGGCUGCCAACCCGCGAGGGGGUAGCUAAUCCCAGAAAACCGGUCGUAGUCCGGAUCGCAGUCUGCAACUCGACUGCGUGAAGUCGGAAUCGCU
rnacentral:rRNA from 1 species